GAUUACACAAAAUACGUCGCGUUCAUCGAGCUCUUCGACGCGAUAAUAGACUCCAGUGAAAAGUUAAAACAAGUGCAAAAACUAUACUACUUGAAAAAAUACCUGAAAGGUGAAGCAUUAGCGUUAAUUGAAGGUCUUCCAUUAACCUGCGAAUCAUAUGUUAAAGCCAGAGAGCUAAUUAAAUUGCGGUAUGACAAUAAAUUUCUGGUAAUAAACAAUCAUAUCCAAGCUAUAAUAGAUAGCACACCCAUUGUAAAAGGUUCUGCAAGCAACCUGCGGGACGUGGUAGCCAAUACUCGUCAGCAUCUAGGCGCCCUUAAGGCCCUAGGUCAGCCAACAGAGCAAUGGGACUUAAUUGUACUAACUAUUAUCUUAAAAAAGGUGGAUCAGUUUUCAUGCAGAGCCUAUCAUCAAGAAAGGGACAGUGACAAGAUGCCAAAUCUCGAAGACUUCUUGUCAUUUCUGGAGAGGAGAGCCAGCAGCUUUGAAGAAAGCCAACAAAGCGAAGACCGUGACCUACGGGCAAAAAAGUUCGAGUUUCCUGGCGACAAGAUGUCUAGAGGAGCUGGCGACAAGGUAUGAGGCAGAGCUUCCUAAAGCAGCAGAGGUGGUCCGCACUGCAAUGUAUGUGGAUGAUGCACUCUUCGGAGCAGACUCCAUCAAGGAUGCAUUGGAGGUAAGAGACCAAUUUACUAACUUGCUGUCUCAUGCAGAUUUCCAUCUGCACAAAUGGGCAGCCAAUGAUCCCGAACUGCUAACUGAUAUCUCUCCUGAAUCUUGCUAUGUUGAUGAUCACCAGCUCUCCAUGAAAACUGAUCUCAAAGCCUUAGGCAUGGUAUUCAAUCCCAAUCAAGAUGUUUUCAAAAUUAAUUAUCCCAACAAAGACAUACAACAUUGGGACAAGCGCACAAUCCUUAGUUUCAUUGGGUCCUUUUUUGAUCCCUUAGGGCUGGCAGGGCCUAUAGUAGUUAGGGCAAAGCAAUUUCUACAGGAUCUUUGGAGGCAAAAUUUGGACUGGACCUCUCCAAUACCAGAGGAAUUCUUAAGUAAAUGGAUUAAAUUUCACAAAGAAAUAUUGGAGAAGCCCACUAUACAAAUAAAAAGGCUAGUAAUGCCUACCAAGGAUCAAGUAGAAAUCAUAGGGUUUUGUGAUGCCUCGGCCAAAUCUUAUGGGGCAUGCAUAUAUGUAAGAACCUUUCAAAAUGGAAAGGCUACCAUGAACCUGCUAUGCAGCAAAUCAAAGAUAGCCCCGAUCAAAAAUGAACUCACAAUUCCAAAAUUAGAAUUGAAUGCAGCGGUGUUGCUUGCAAAAUUAUUUGACAAGUUAAAACAAAUUUUGAACAAUAUACUAAUAACUGAUGUAUACUUACUAUCUGACUCAAAGGUAACUUUGUGCUGGAUAAAGUCAAAAAAAGAAUUACCUGUUUAUGUCAAAAAUAGAGUACAGAUAAUACAUAAUUUAACUAGUAAUUGUAUUUGGAGCCAUAUUGGUGGAGCAACCAACCCGGCUGAUACCUUAUCUAGAGGCUGCAGUCCUCUUGACCUCGCAAAAAAUGACUUGUGGUGGCAUGGCCCAAGUGACUUUCUGGACUCUAACUACCAUCCCCAGCCAUUCACAGUCACAAACAGCACAGAAAACAUCAAUGAGACUGUCAGCAGUCAUCUGGCCUGUUUGAUUGCUACACCAAAUGAGCCAGAACUACUUAAAAAAUACUCAUCAUGGAUAAAGUUACAAAGAGUAGUUGC